rnacentral:tRNA from 1 species
GCCUUGGUAGCUCAGUUAGGAAGAGCAUUGUCUUGGUAUGACAAAGAUCGCUGGUUCAAAUCCAGCCCAAGGCU